CCUACGGGAGGCAGCAGUGGGGAAUCUUGCACAAUGGAGGAAACUCUGAUGCAGCGAUGCCGCGUGAGUGAAGAGGCCCUUGGGUUGUAAAGCUCUUUCGUCGGGGAAGAAAAUGACUGUACCCGAAUAAGAAGGUCCGGCUAACUUCGUGCCAGCAGCCGCGGUAAUACGAAGGGACCUAGCGUAGUUCGGAAUUACUGGGCUUAAAGAGUUCGUAGGUGGUUAAAAAAGUUGGUGGUGAAAUCCCAGA
rnacentral:rRNA from 1 species